rnacentral:rRNA from 1 species
UACGUAGGUGGCAAGCGUUAUCCGGAUUUAUUGGGCGUAAAGAGAACGCAGGCGGUCUUUUAAGUCUGAUGUGAAAGCCUUCGGCUUAACCGGAGUAGUGCAUUGGAAACUGGGAGAAUUGAGUGCAGAAGAGGAGAGUGGAACUCCAUGUGUAGCGGUGAAAUGCGUAGAUAUAUGGAAGAACACCAGUGGCGAAAGCGGCUCUCUGGUCUGUAACUGACGCUGAGGUUCGAAAGCGUGGGUAGCAAACAGG